UGAGGAAUAUUGGUCAAUGGGUGCAAGCCUGAACCAGCCAUGCCGCGUGCAGGAUGACUGCCCUAUGGGUUGUAAACUGCUUUUAUACGGGAAGAACAGGCUCCACGCGAUGGGGAUUUGACGGUACCGUAGGAAUAAGCAUCGGCUAACUCCGUGCCAGCAGCCGCGGUAAUACGGAGGAUGCGAGCGUUAUCCGGAUUUAUUAGGUUUAAAGGGUGCGUAGGCGGAUAAGUAAGUCAGCGGUGAAAGCUUGUUGCUUAACAACAGAAUUGCCAUUGAUACUGCUAAUCUUGAGUACAGUUGAGGUAGGCGGAAUGUGUAAUGUAGCGGUGAAAUGCUUAGAUAUUACACAGAACACCGAUUGCGAAGGCAGCUUACUAAGCUGUAACUGACGCUGAGGCACGAAAGCGUGGGGAGCAAACAGG
rnacentral:rRNA from 1 species